ACUGUAUUCUGUUUUUAUUUACACUUUACACAGUGUCCCAAGUUUUUUUUGGAAUUGGGGUUAUAUAUUUGUUUUACUUUUUUCUCUUAAAACAUUUCUGUAUGUCACUUGAUUUUCAUAUGUUGCAGUUUCACAACGAAGGUGAGAAAAAGUUCUGAUCUCAUUUCAUUUGUUGUUUACAUCUGUUACAAAAAAUGUUAGAGGACACUGCGGCGUGGCUUGUAAGUGGUCACAUGACUUUGUUUUGGUUCGUUCACUUCCUGGUUGAGUAUUGGGUUAUGUUUGAGUGUCUUUAAUUUGCCCCAGGUGUCCAUGCUUUAGUUUGAUUGUGUUUUUUAUUUAAACCCCUCGUGUGGCUGCGCAUUUUGCGUAGUAUUAAUCUAAGGUCUCCUGAGUUUCCGUUUAUGUUUGAACAUGGUAGAAUGUAUGUUUAGCAUGCUAGUGGUCGUAGGUAGAGAACCAGUGUUUAACUAUAGUCAGUAUAGACUGCGCUCCCUGUGUUUGUGUAUGUUUGAGUUUGUUAAUAAAGACUUUGACCUGCACUGACCGCCUCCAGUCCUGAUCCGUAACAGAAUACUGCGCCAAUAAUGCGGAAGCAGCCAAAGCGGCCGAGUUUGAGGCGUGGCGCCAUUCGUUCGAGGAACAGUGCAAACAGCUCACCGAGGAAAUUGCUCAGCUCCACUGCCUUCUAAAGCCACUGCAGCAAGCCGGGCUAUGCGCCACGCCACCAUCCGCGCAAUUUCUCACGCCCACGCUGCUGGAGAACUACGCCGUGCAACGCGGCCAGCAGAGCUACCCGAACUCCUGGGGCCUCCAACGCCAUACAGCCAGCAAAGCUACUUGAACUACUGGAGCUUCCCACUGCAGGGGAAUUGUACCACGCUACCCAGCCUGGAACCGAAGGCUGGCCUAGAACUUUUAUUUUGGGGGGCUACGACGACGACGACAGCAGAGCUCCAGCCUAAGGCCUACAGGGAGUUCUCAGCUGUGGAGCUCCUGCCUGAGGUCAACAUGGCAACUUCAGAGCUGCAGCGUGAGGCCUACGGAGAGACCUCAGCUGUGGAGCUCCUGCACGCCGAAGAAGCUGUCCCGCUGCCCUGCCUAGCCGAGGAUUGUUGAAGUGGGAGAGAUCGACUUGAGGCAGAUCUGAGAGAUUUAACGAUCCGUCAUGCAGAGAUCACCCAUCUCAGAAUCCUUGUUCACGGAGUGGGUAAUGCUGGAAAAUCCAGCUUCAUCAACUCUGCUAACAGUGUCUUUCAGCACCGUGUAACGGACAGAGCCGGAGCAGCAUGGAGUUCAAGCACGAGUUAUACGAAACGAUUUAAUCCUGUGUCCUUUACGAGAUGGUGGUCCACGGUACAUUAACGCCCCCACUCUGAAUGAUAAAGUUCACUGUCUGGUGAGCGUUAUGUCAGCACAAACCCUCCCUGUCAUGUAUGAUUCUGUCAUCAAAAGCAUUAAGGAUGUCAGGGAACAGGCCAGUGACCUUGGUAUCCCCCAAGUGCUGAUCUUGACACAUUGAGUGCUGUCCACUGGUUAAGGAAAACUUGAGAAAAGUCUACUUCAGCAAGAAAAUUAAGGACAAGGUAUCCCUCAAAAGGUUGUCCUGAAAGAUGUUGAUUCAGCGUGCUCAUUAGUUAGCAAUGAUAUAAGGACCAUCUACAAAAGCAGGCGUGUUAAGGAAAGGCAAGUCCAAAGAAAAGAUAUUUUUGCACAUGUGCACAACAGCUGGUCAGUGUGGGAAACAUCUUUGAAGCAUAUACAUAUACCUGACAACAUUAAUCAACAAUAAUAGCAUUAAAAAAUGUUUAUGUAUGUAUAUUACAAUCUUGUAGAGAUAUUUCCAAAAUAUCCCCACAAGCUGCAGAUUAAGCUGACUCAACUUAAUCGAACUAUUCACCACAACCGACAAAUACUGUAUCUAGCCAUUUUAUCUUGUAAUAUAAGUGUAAAAAUUAAUCGUUUAAUUUAAUCUAGUAAAUAUGAGAAAAAAAAUUGCUAGUCAGAAUCCAAAUUAAGGACAUCAUGUGAGAGCCUUUUCAAUCUGGUUCCUCUCAAUUGUUUCUUGCUGAUGUCGUCUCAGGAGGUUUUUCCUUGCCACACUCGCCUCUUGAAUUGCUCGCUAAGGAAUCGACUUAAACUUGAAUUUAAAUGUAAAGUUCAAAGCCAGAUCUCUGUAAAGUUGCUUUGUGACAACGCCCAUGACUCUUCGGGUAAUCUUCAAGGUUGUGCACUGCUGAAUUUGAAGGAGAUGGCCUCUUUAAUCAGCAUUGUGUGAGAAAUAGAGUACUUCUGGAAAACAAUAAAAUGUGUGUGUGUUUGUGCGAGAGGGGGAGAGAGAGAGGGAGAGGGCUGGUUACCAAGUGAAAGCACAGAAUGAUUCCAUAUUUUGUGUAACAGUUAUACUGAGCUCAGACUUGGAAGAUCAGCUUCAGAGGAAGAAAAUCGAACAAAAUGGGUGGAGAGAAUUCGAAACCAAAGCCUCCAGAAGACUUUGAAGAAUCAGACUUUGAUGAACCAUGGAGAAACGUGGACUGGAAGAUUUUUCAACCACGAUUCAGUUAAAUGAAUAAAAAAUGUGAGGAUGGGAGUCCACACCAGCUUAUGUACCUCCACCAACUCCACCAGGGUCACGGGGAAACCUGGAGCCUAUCCCAUGGAGCAUCGGGCACAAGGCGGGUACACCCUGGACAGGGUCCCUUAUAUGAUGUCACAUGAAAUUAAGUGAUGUUAUUUAUAUCACAGUUCCUAUGCAAGGCCUUUUUAAAAUAACUGAAAAGUUUUGAUCUUCACUUAUCAGGAUUGUCCCAAUUCACCUGAAGUCACCCUGCACAUUACCUUACAGGGCUCAAUAACCGUGUUGUAUAAUUUUUUAACAAAGUUGAUCAUUAAUAUUAUCCAAUGAUAGCUAGAUGAUUAUCUAUGGCCUUUUGUGUUUGUAAAAUGCUUUUACUUUCCAUUUGCAUUGGAAUUGAGGCCAAAUGAGAGGCUAGAUGUCCAUGUCCAUGUCCGUGUGUGUGUGUGUGUGUGUGUGUGUGUGUGUGUGUGUGUGUGUGUGUGUGUGUCAGAAACAGAAAGUGUGCUAGGAUUCAAAAACUGAAGGUAUGAAAGUGGGAACUGGGGAAGCUGCUCUAACAGUCGACCCAGUCAGAAGCUUCUAGGUUAGACUGCACAGAGUAACCAGCUCGGGAUUCAAUGGAAUUUGACCUUUAAAUAAGGGAAGCCAGGAAUAACAACACAACCAGGUUUGUGUUAAAAAGAAGUGGUAUAUUGUAACACACAAAAUUAUAUACAUAUUACUGUACAAGGAACCAAACCAGGCGUAACUUCAGGGUGGGCCAAGGCCAAAAUAAUAGAAAACAAAGAAUUCUAUUGUUAGGUAGCAAUCUUACCUUAAAGGAAAAUAAAGAAAAUACAAGGAUACUUCCCUAACUACCUAAGCAAAAAAAAAAAAAAAAAAAAAAAAGACAAAAAGGACCCUCUCUCAAAAGAAAUGGCAACCACACCCCUAUUUCCGGUGAACCUAGUGAACAUAUAUACAGUGGUGGAUAGAAUGAACAAAAAGGGUACAGGGACAACCAAACUCAAAGUCAAAAACCAGAACAGCAGUCAGAAUAUAGCAUAAAGCAGCACAAUCAAACACAAUCUCUAAACACCAACACAUGUAACCACCUCCAACAUCCCACACCAUUCUCCCUCCUCUUCCUCUUUAAAUAUGGUUGUCAUCCUGGGAGGCAGGAGAAAGGCAGGCUAGGGCAGGCUGGAAACUCUGGGAGGGAGUUCGACCUGCACACAAAAAAACUUCCCAUUCCAAAGAUAGUGGGUUGUAACAUACACACACACACACACACAAGUUUAAAAACAUCUGAUGAUCAGGGCCGAUUAUAUCCUGUCAAUCAAAAGAGGGCGGGAAAACACAUGGAUUUCGUGCUGUGUGUAAAGAUGUCGUCUCUUGUGUGGAAUGAUGACAAAUCUGCAGUUUGUAAACUCUGCAAUGUCUGUCAUCUCUGCACUAAUAACAGAAGUAAAUUUUACGACAGAGGAGUUUCAGUGUCGAGUCGAUCCCCGCCCCCCUGAAUUAAAAGGCCAGUACACGUUGAAAGAUUUAAAUGAAGACGAGUUGGCAAAAAAAAGUAUAUAUAUUGUACAUAACAUAUUUGUAAAGUAAUAUAUCUCAUAAUCAAUGUUAAUAUGAAUUAAUAACAUUCAAUAAGUGAAGAAAUCUUACUUUAAUCUUCAGAAUUGAGUUCCUGUUAAUGCGAGUAAUGUGUUUUCUGUUCAUGAGACCAGUUACCGUGAAACAACUUGCUGAAAUGGACAGAAUAAGGUUUUUAUUUGCAAUUCCUUCAGAAUUCUUUUAAAUUAAUUAUUAUUAAUUUAAAAGAAGGAACAGAUGGCAGAACUAUGGGUAUCGGCCGAUAUCACUCUGAAUAAUCGCUUAUCGGUAUCGGCUGAGAAAUUUAUUAUCGGUGCAUCUGUAAUAUAUUAUUAUUAUUUAUAGCUUCUUUUUUUUUUACUGGAACUAACAGUCAAAAUCUACUUUUCCCAUCAGCAUUGUUCAACUGGAUUCAUUGAACUGAAUAAAAUGGGAGGGCCUGAGACUAAAAUUCCUCCAUAUAUUUCUCCUCCACCAUCUCCAUCACCACCUCCAGGAGUCUUAGUCUUAUAAUAUUUAAUCAGAUGAUGAUCAAUAUGUUAACCUUAAUAUUACAUACUGAGACUGUUUAUUAUUUACUCCCGAUUUAGACUAGUUAUUAAUGAAUUUAUUUUCCCAAUUAUGGGAGUUAAUCUAGGAGUGAGAAUGUGUAACGAACGAGUACGUGAUGUGACUCGACUAAAAUCAUGGAGCACAGCAUAAAAUAAACAUUAAUAUUGAUGAUAGUCAAGGCACACAUGUAAAGGACAUCAUCACAGCCUUAAAGGGGUUUCUUGAGGAAGGAUAUAAAGCAGGGGUGUCCAAACUACGGCCCGCGGUCCAGUUUUUAUUGGCCCGUGGCAAAUUCUGAAAAUAUAAUUGAAUAUGGCCCACACUAGAAGCUUGAGCUCGACUCUGUUGCACUUCUCAGUUUCAACACUAGAUGGAGCCAGCCACGGAAACGGUGCUUCUCAACCGUUACCGCUACUAAACAAAAUUAAGCAAAGAAAAACUUUUACCACGAGUCACCAUAAAUGGCAGCACCCAAAAAAUGAAAAAUAGCAAGUGAGUGUAGAAGAUUUCAAACACGGUGGGAAAAUGAAUAUUUUUCAAAGAAAUCAAUGGAAAGUGUGUCUGUUUGAUCUGCAAUGAAGAUGUUGCUGUGAUGAAAGACUAUAAUGUCCGUCGGCACUAUGAAACCAAACAUCAGAGCUACACAUCGUACACCGGUGCCGAACGAACACAGAAAGUCAAGCAAAUGGCAGCUAGCCUGCAAGCUCAACAACAGUUUUUUUUUUCGGUGCCAAAAAAAUACAGGAAAACGCCACAACAGCAAGCUAUGAAGUCGCUAAACUUAUUGCCCAGCACGGUAAACCGUUCUCAGACGGUGGUUUCAUAAAGCAGUGCCUCAUCAAAGUCACAGAAAUAAUGUGCCCGGAGAAAGUGCAGGAUUUCAACAACGUGAGCUUAUCCAGAAAUACAGUGGUGCGAAGAAUCGAGGACUUGUCAGCUAACUUGAAACUUCAGCUGAGAGACAAAGCUUGUGCUUUUGAUUUUUACUCGAUAGCAUGCGAUGAGAGCACAGAUGCUACAGACACUGCACAGCUGUUGAUGAUAAUUUUUGUUGUACUGAGGAGCUGCUUGAUAUAAGCCUAAAAGGCACAACGACGGGUAGAGAUAUUUUUGAAGCUGUGUCAGAGGUAGUUGAAAAGAUGCGGCUUAAAUGGGACAAGCUCUGUGGAAUAACAACGGAUGGAGCUCCGCCCAUGACGGGCGAUCGUAAAGGAAUGGCAUCGAUGGUGUGCGCCAAGGUAAAAGAGAGCGGAGGUGAGGCUUUUAGGAUGCACUGUAUAAUCCACCAAGAAGCACUGUGUGCCAAGACUGUCCAGCUGGGCGAUGUGAUGAACACUGUUGUAAAAACUGUCAACAUAAUUCGAGCUAGAGGUCUGUACCACAGAGAAUUUCAAGCUUUCCUUUCUGAAGUGGAUGCUGGAUACGGGGAUGUACUCUACCACUCUGAGGUGCGCUGGCUGAGCCGCGGCUAUGUGCUGCAGCGGUUUUAUUCGAUGAGAUCAGAAAUCGAUCGGUUUGUGAAAGAAAAGGGCCGACCUCUUCAUGAAUCGAGUGACCCUCUGUGGCUAGCCGACCUGGCAUUUUUAGUUGAUCUUACUCAUCAUCUGAAUACACUGAACAAGAACCUACAAGGCAAAGAACAGCUGGUGCCACACCUGUAUGCGCACAUGAAAGCCCUCAGUGUAAAGCUCCACCUGUCUGAGACGCAACUACGAAGCUUUAAUGCUGCACACUUCCCUGUGCUGUCUGAAAUCAAGUCUGCUUUUCCAAAGGCCGACCUUUCUGAUAAAAAGGAGAAAUGUGUUUGUGAUUACAUCUCUCGUGACAGAAUUCAACAUGCGUUUCCAAGAUUUUUCUGUCAUUGAAAAACAAAUCAAGCUGUUCUCGACCCCCUUCCUGGUGGAUGCAGAAGAAGUGGAAGAGAGUCUGCAGUUAGAACUGAUUGAAAUGCAAUGCGAUGAUUCUCUGAAGAGUCAACAUCAGCUUCUCUCCCCCCUUGACUUCUAUCAGAGUUUGGAUAGUGCCAAGUUUCCUCUGAUGAGACGCCACGCAAAAAGAAUGAUGAGCCUGUUCGGCUCAACAUACAUCUGCGAACAAGCAUUUUCUCUGUUAAAUCAGAACAAAAGCAGAUUGAGAACCAGAAUGGCUGAUAACCAUCUCUGUGAAGUCCUUCAUGUCUCAACCACCAAACUUUCUCCUGACAUUUCAGCCAUCCUUCAAUCCAAAGGACAGCGUCACUGCUCCCACUGAGUGCAAUGUUCUUCACAUUAUAGGUGAGUUAGAAAUAGACACACUGUUACGACACCUGUGCCACCUACAGGCCUGUUCGUUCCACUGCACGGGCAGUGCAGUUCCAGUUAUUAACCUGACUCUUUGCAAACACACACAACUGACAUUGUAUUUAAUUCAUGCCACACUUUUUACUUUAAUAAUAAACAGUUCUUUAUUCAUUAUAAAUUUUAAACCCUAAACUGUUUGCUCGUAUUCAUGUGUCAAUAUUUCACCUCUAGUGUGUGGCCCGGCCCUUUGUUUAUUUUUCUGUAUUUGGCCCUCACUAAAAAAAAGUUUGGACACCCCUGAUAUAAAGUGAGGGGAACAUUUUACUCUCACAAUAUGACACAAAACCGUUAUUUUUAGCAUUGUUACGGUAUAUAAUGUUAAUAUAUAUGACGUUAGAAUACUGUUCAUGUAGUCAGUCUUUAUAGUACAGCUGGAGUUCUGUAGUAACCUACAGAUUUUUGCACAGUAAAACAUCUGUAAUAUUUAUUCUUUCACCAAUUUGCAGUUUAAUCCUGUUACUCCCGCGUCUGAGAAUGACUAGAACUACAACAAAAACCCCAAAACUUCUGAUAAACCCUUCUGCCUGCUCAACAUUAUACCUGCAAACAAAGUGUCACUCAUGGACCAAAAGCUUAUUCAAAAGAUGAAACGGGUCCAUGAGGUGGCAUCAGAGUAUAGUAAGUCCUGUUAUUAUAGUUUAGAAUCAUCUCGAAAUGUUUUUUAUAUUGGCACAAUUAUUCCCCAAUAACAUACCACUGUGUGUGAUUUGGUCUGAAGAUGUUGAUUGUUUUUCUAUAACAGCAGCCCUGACUGUAGUUCUGACUGCAAAACAAAUCACAAGUUUAGAUUAAUCCGUUCAUUCUAAUAGUUUCUAUAGUAACAACUCACACAGGGACUUUUAUUUGUUCUAUGGAAGGAGUCUCCAGUUUCAACACUUUUGUAACAGUCAGAGGUAAAGCUGCAACAGAGUUUUCUGAUCUUCAGGACAGAGGAGAUUAUGAUUAGUGGUUUCUCAGGAACACGACAAGCUGUGAUUUUUAUCUUAUUAACAUCAGGGGAGAAAAUAAAGAGAGAGGCUCGUAAGAGAAACUGUUAAUUAAUUAAUUAAAGUUAAAACUUUAAUUAAUAAAAAUUGUAAUCACUGAUAAAUGACUGUGAUAAGAAUUAAACACUGCAGGAUGUGCUGUUAUAGGAAAAUCAUCUUCAUAUCAUAUUAGAAUUCCUGUUUUAGUCUUAUUGUAGAUAAACUGUUCAUCCUAUUGUACAGAUUUGCCUCAAGUUAUCAUCAUGACAAAAGUGGAUGAAGCCUGUCCUCUGGUUAAAGAUGACCAACAAACGUAACAAACCCAAAAAACUGAAGUAAAUCUAAUUAUUAAAUAUUAUUAGAUGUUUGUCAACUAUAAACAGCAAAAAGCUUGUCAGUGCAUCUGUUUAAGGAGUUAAAUAAAGUUCCGUUCUGCAACUUGUGAUUUGUUAUAAUUGUGGUAGAUUUUUACAAUUUAUUGGUUAAAUAAAUUGUUUGAUUCAUUGUUUUUUCUAUAUACUUUCAGAUGCAGGAGUGUAGUAAUCUGCUGGGUAUUCCACUGAGCCACAUCUUCCCUGUGAAGAACUACCACGAGGAGGUGGAUACGAACGAUGACAUGGAUGUUCUGAUCCUUUUUAUCUUAACAUCAGGGGAGAAAAUAAAGAGAGACUCAUUUGCCUCAAGUUAUCAUCAUGACAAAAGUGGAUGAGGCCUGCCCUCUGGUUAAACAGGACCUAAGAAAGGUCUACACCAGCAAGAAGAUCAAAGAAAAGAUUUGCCUCACGUAAUCAUCUUGAAAAAAGAGGACGAAGCCUGCAAACUGGUUAAAGAGGACCUAAGAAAGGUCUACACCAGCAAGAAGAUCAGAGAAAAGUUAAUUGUGUAAUUAAAUGGUGUAUAUUAGUGUCACAUUGUGGUGAACUCGCAACUGCAGUUCCUAGAAUGCUACAAACUACAAACAUGGCCGACAAGAACUACACUUCCUGGCCAUGCACGAACUCAAGUUCAAACAAUGACAUGGAUGUUCUGAUCCUCAAGGCGCUCGAUCAGAUCGUGAAUCUCGCCAACGAUGCUCUGGAAAACCAAAACCUUAGUGAGAAAUAUGAGUGAAGGCUUUUUUUUUGUUCUUUUCCACCCCUACACCAGUGCAGAGUAUUUAGGACAGUGAAAAGACAUGAAAUUGUGUCUAAAGUACAUUAUUAAAGUAAAGCUAAUUUCUUCUACUGUAAUCAUAACUGGUUUGUGUUUCCGUCGCUGUCAUGUUCCUACUGCACUCUGGACUUUUUAUAUUCCAUUAAGUUAAUAAAUAUAAUGAUGUUUGGUCCUA